rnacentral:rRNA from 1 species
UGGGCCCGCGUUUCAUUAGCUUGUUGGUGUGGUAACGGCGCACCAAGGCUGUGAUGGGUAGCUGGUCUGAGAGGAUGGUCAGCCACACUGGGACUGAGACACUGCCCAGACUCCUACGGGAGGCUGCAGUCGAGAAUCAUUCGCAAUGCGCGAAAGCGUGACGAUGCGACGCCGCGUGCAGGAUGACGGCCUUCGGGUUGUAAACUGCUGUCAGGAGGGAGUAACGAUAUCGGUGCUAAUACCACCGAUAUGUGAUAGUACCUCCAGAGGAAGCCACGGCUAACUCUGUGCCAGCAGCCGCGGUAAUACAGAGGUGGCGAGCGUUGUUCGGAUUUACUGGGCGUAAAGGGUGCGUAGGCGGUUUCGUGUGUCGGAUGUGAAAGCUCACUGCUCAACGGUGGAAUUGCAUCCGAAACUGCGGAUCUAGAGUACGGGAGAGGAGAGCGGAAUUCACGGUGUAGCGGUGAAAUGCACAGAUAUCGUGAGGAACGCCGGUGGCGAAGGCGGCUUACUGGACUGUAACUGACGCUGAGGUACGAAAGCGUGGGGAGCGAACAGGAUUAGAUACCCUGGUAGUCCACGCCGUAAACGAUGAACGCUAGGUGUCGGG